rnacentral:rRNA from 1 species
CCUACGGGGGGCAGCAGUAGGGAAUCUUCCACAAUGGGCGAAAGCCUGAUGGAGCAACGCCGCGUGGGUGAAGAAGGUCUUCGGAUCGUAAAACCCGUUUGUUAGAGAAGAAAGUGCGUGAGAGUAACUGUUCACGUUUCGACGGAAUCUAACCAGAAAGCAACGGCUAACUACGGGCCAGCAGCCGCGGUAAUACGUAGGUGGCAAGCGUUAUCCGGAUUUAUUGGGCGUAAAGGGAACGCAGGCGGUCUUUUAAGUCUGAUGUGAAAGCCUUCGGCUUAACCGGAGUAGUGCAUUGGAAACUGGGAGACUUGAGUGCAGAAGAGGAGAGUGGAACUCCAUGUGUAGCGGUGAAAUGCGUAGAUAUUAGGAGGAACACCAGUGGCGAAGGCGGCUUACUGGACUGUAACUGACGUUGAGGCUCGAAAGCGUGGGGAGCAAACAGGAUUAGAUACCCGUGUAGUC